AGGACUCAUGGUCAUGGACAGCAGUGUUGUCACUGCUGAGGGGAGAGGGGUAUAAGGGGACUAAAUGGUAAUGGAAAAAAAUACAAUAAAG